rnacentral:rRNA from 1 species
GUCGGGAAUUUUGGGCAAUGGGCGAAAGCCUGACCCAGCAACGCCGCGUGAAGGAUGAAGUAUUUCGGUAUGUAAACUUCGUAAGAAUAGGAAGAAUAAAUGACGGUACUAUUUGUAAGGUCCGGCUAACUACGUGCCAGCAGCCGCGGUAAUACGUAGGGACCAAGCGUUGUUCGGAUUUACUGGGCGUAAAGGGCGCGUAGGCGGCGUGGUAAGUCAGCUGUGAAAUCUCCGAGCUUAACUCUGAACGGUCAGCUGAUACUGCUGUGCUAGAGUACAGAAAGGGCAAUCGGAAUUCUUGGUGUAGCGGUGAAAUGCGUAGAUAUCAAGAGGAACACCUGAGGCGAAGGCGGGUUGCUAGGCUGAUACUGACGCUGAGGCGCGAAAGCUAGGGUAGCAAACGGGAUUAGAAACCCUAGUAGUCC